AGCGGCGGAUGGGUGAGUAACACGUGGGGAACCUGCCCCUAAGUCUGGGAUACCAUUUGGAAACAGGUGCUAAUACCGGAUAAUAAAGCAGAUCGCAUGAUCAGCUUCUGAAAGGCGGCGUAAGCUGUCGCUAAGGGAUGGCCCCGCGGUGCAUUAGCUAGUUGGUAAGGUAACGGCUUACCAAGGCGACGAUGCAUAGCCGAGUUGAGAGACUGAUCGGCCACAUUGGGACUGAGACACGGCCCAAACUCCUACGGGAGGCAGCAGUAGGGAAUCUUCCACAAUGGACGCAAGUCUGAUGGAGCAACGCCGCGUGAGUGAAGAAGGUUUUCGGAUCGUAAAGCUCUGUUGUUGGUGAAGAAGGAUAGAGGUAGUAACUGGCCUUUAUUUGACGGUAAUCAACCAGAAAGUCACGGCUAACUACGUGCCAGCAGCCGCGGUAAUACGUAGGUGGCAAGCGUUGUCCGGAUUUAUUGGGCGUAAAGCGAGCGCAGGCGGAAAAAUAAGUCUAAUGUGAAAGCCCUCGGCUUAACCGAGGAACUGCAUCGGAAACUGUUUUUCUUGAGUGCAGAAGAGGAGAGUGGAACUCCAUGUGUAGCGGUGGAAUGCGUAGAUAUAUGGAAGAACACCAGUGGCGAAGGCGGCUCUCUGGUCUGCAACUGACGCUGAGGCUCGAAAGCAUGGGUAGCGAACAGGAUUAGAUACCCUGGUAGUCCAUGCCGUAAACGAUGAGUGCUAAGUGU
rnacentral:rRNA from 1 species